UUUAUAUAAGUGUAUUAUUGAGGUAGUAUUAGUAUUCUUGAAACUUAAAAAAGAUUGGCGGUAGUUGGGACAGAUCAGGGGAAUUUGUAAUUAUAAGUGAUAAUCCGCAGGUAAUUUAUUUUUUGUUGUUUAUUUUAGGUUUAUGGAGUUUGUAUAUCGUUGUGGCUGGUUUAUUAAAAAGUAAUUUUUCCUUUAGAUAUUUAUUUUGAAAUGUGGUUAUUCAAAUCAAGGUGCAGCAUAUCAAGAAGAGGAUUAUGAAUUACAAUAUUUUUGGAUAUUAUGGAGUAUUAAUUGUAAUAUUGAUAUGAAGGUGGAUUKKRAAGUAAAUUAAUUAAAGAAUGGUUAGUUGAUUUUUGUUCUGAGAUAUGC
rnacentral:rRNA from 1 species